CCGAGAUAGCUCAGUCGGUAGA
rnacentral:tRNA from 1 species